AAGCUUGCUUUUGAUGGGCGUCGACCGGCGCACGGGUGAGUAACGCGUAUCCCUUUUGGCCACCACUUGGGGAUAACCUUGCGAAAGUAAGACCAUUACCCAAUGACGUCUCUAGAAGACAUCUGAAGGAGAUUAAAGAUUUAUCGGUGAUGGAUGGGGAUGCGUCUGAUUAGCUUGUUGGCGGGGUAACGGCCCACCAAGGCGACGAUCAGUAGGGGUUCUGAGAGGAAGGUCCCCCACAUUGGAACUGAGACACGGUCCAAACUCCUACGGGAGGCAGCAGUGAGGAAUAUUGGUCAAUGGACGAGAGUCUGAACCAGCCAAGUAGCGUGCAGGAUGACGGCCCUAUGGGUUGUAAACUGCUUUUAUAAGGGAAUAAAGUGAGUCUCGUGAGACUUUUUGCAUGUACCUUAUGAAUAAGGACCGGCUAAUUCCGUGCCAGCAGCCGCGGUAAUACGGAAGGUCCGGGCGUUAUCCGGAUUUAUUGGGUUUAAAGGGAGCGUAGGCCGGAGAUUAAGCGUGUUGUGAAAUGUAGAUGCUCAACAUCUGAACUGCAGCGCGAACUGGUUUCCUUGAGUACGCACAAAGUGGGCGGAAUUCGUGGUGUAGCGGUGAAAUGCUUAGAUAUCACGAAGAACUCCGAUUG
rnacentral:rRNA from 1 species